AACGCGAAGAACCUUACCUGGACUUGAACCGCACAGGACCAUCUUCAGAAAUGAGGACUUCCCGCAAGGGACCUGUGUAGAGGUGCUGCAUGGCUGUCGUCAGCUCGUGUCGUGAGAUGUUGGGUUAAGUCCCGCAACGAGCGCAACCCUUGUCCUGUGUUGGCAUGCCGCAAGGCGCAACUCGCAGGAGACCGCCAGCGAUAAGUUGGAGGAAGGUGGGGAUGACGUCAAGUCAUCAUGGCCUUUAUGUCCAGGGCCACACACGUGCUACAAUGGGCGGUACAAAGCGCUGCCAACCCGCGAGGGGGAGCUAAUCGCCAAAAACCGUCCUCAGUUCGGAUUGCAGGCUGCAACUCGCCUGCAUGAAGCUGGAAUCGCUAGUAAUGCUAUAUCAGAACGAUAGCGUGAAUACGUUCCCGGGCCUUGUACACACCGAGUAUA
rnacentral:rRNA from 1 species